CCUACGGGGGGCUGCAGUGGGGAAUAUUGCACAAUGGGCGCAAGCCUGAUGCAGCCAUGCCGCGUGUGUGAAGAAGGCCUUCGGGUUGUAAAGCACUUUCAGCGGGGAGGAAGGCGUUAAGGUUAAUAACCUUGGCGAUUGACGUUACCCGCAGAAGAAGCACCGGCUAACUCCGUGCCAGCAGCCGCGGUAAUACGGAGGGUGCAAGCGUUAAUCGGAAUUACUGGGCGUAAAGCGCACGCAGGCGGUCUGUCAAGUCGGAUGUGAAAUCCCCGGGCUCAACCUGGGAACUGCAUUCGAAACUGGCAGGCUAGAGUCUUGUAGAGGGGGGUAGAAUUCCAGGUGUAGCGGUGAAAUGCGUAGAGAUCUGGAGGAAUACCGGUGGCGAAGGCGGCCCCCUGGACAAAGACUGACGCUCAGGUGCGAAAGCGUGGGGAGCAAACAGGAUUAAAUACCCGGGUAGUC
rnacentral:rRNA from 1 species